UUAUAUCAUGUGCAGCCAAACCAACACAAAAGCAAAAGCACAUAGCAUUACAUUGCAAAAAUGGUUAACGGUUGAACUGAGAACAUGGUCCACAGUAAAAUGUUUCGUGUUUUGCAGUGUCUGGUGCUUGUUGUGUGCCAAUACUUUUUUCUUAGUGCAUUCCAUUGAAGAUCAGAAAGAACUAGAGUGAAACGUAGUUGAUUCAUUUGUGUUGAGUAUGAAUGGCAGAAGCUUGUUCCUCCUAGAGGCCUAAACCAAAACCCCUCUUGUGUCUUUGUUCAUCCAAGUGAUCUCUCUCUGUUUGUUGAAAGGAGAGAUGGCACAAAAACCAGUUUUCCUUUCUCUUUUACCCCUUUUAGUCUUCUUUCUUGCCACCAUCCAACUUUCAGAACAGUUAGAGUUUUCUCAGUCUCAGACACUUCUCAAGGUUCAGCAACUUCUUGGUUAUCCAUCAGCAUUAAGUGCUCUCAGCAGCACCUCAGACUUUUGCAAUAUUGAGCCUACCACAUAUUUGACACUAGUCUGCUAUGAAGAUAGCUUGACACAGCUUCAUGUUGUUGGCAACAAUGAUUAUGCUUCACUGCCUCCAAACUUCUCCUCUGAUACUCUUUUUACUACAAUAGGAACUCUCUCAAGCUUGAAAGUCCUCUCUCUUGUUUCUCUUGGACUCUGGGGCCCUUGCCUGAAAGCAUUGCACAACUGUCUUCAUUGGAAAUACUUAACAUUAGCUCAAACUACUUCAAUGGAGCCAUUCCAUCUCAGCUUUCACAACUCAGGAACCUGCAGUCAGUGGUGCUUGAUGAUAACAACAUCAAUGGUGAAAUUCCUAACUGGGUAGGCUCACUUCAAGGUUUGGCUGUGCUUAGUAUGAAGAAAAACUGGCUUAGUGGGAGCCUUCCAACUUCACUGGAUGCUCUUCAGACCUUGAGGGUGUUAGAUCUGUCAAAUAAUCAGUUAUCUGGGGAAGUUCCUCAUCUUAAGAAUUUGGCAAACCUUCAAGUUCUUAACUUGGAAAACAACACAUUUGGACCUCAUUUUCCUUCACUCCCCACCAAGUUAGUUUCUCUUGUGCUAAGAAAUAACAGCUUCAGGCUGAGUGUCCCCUCUGGUUUAAAUUCUUUCUAUCUGCUCCAAAGGCUAGACCUUUCUUUGAAUGGCUUUGUGGGGCCAUUUCCACCAUCAUUAUUGUCACUGCCAUCCAUAAAUUACCUUGAUAUUUCCUCAAAUAAAUUCACUGGAAUGCUUUUCAGUAACAUGUCAUGCAAUGAUGAUCUCCGCUUUGUAAAUUUGUCUUCAAAUCUUCUGAAAGGGGAAGUUCCCUCUUGUUUGGAACCAAAGACCAGGGUUGUUCUGUAUGAUGGAAACUGCUUAUCAAAUAAGAACCAAGAUCAGCACCCUUUACAUUUCUGCAGCAAUGAGGCUUUGGCAGUGAAAAUCAUACCCCCUCAACCAAAGCACAAGAGAACAACUGGUAAAGCAGUUCUUGUAUCAAGUAUGGGAGGUGUUGUAGGUGUAGUGUUGAUUCUAGGAGUGGUUAUCUUGGUUGUUAGCCGAGUUCACAAGAAACAGGUAGUGAAAAUACCUUCAAAGUCCCCUUUGGAAAAUGUCACUACCCAGUUACAUAAUGAAGAAGAAGUGAAAACUACUACAAGGUCCAUAAUGGAGCAUAUCAUCAAAAGGGUUCCUGACAAACGUGCUGUGGAAACACUCACAAGAUCCAUAAAGGAGCAUGUAAUGAGCCGAGUUAAAAAUAAGCGUGUUGUUAGGGCAUCGACAAGGUCCAUAAUAGAACAUGUAUCAUCAGUUAACACAGCAAAACUACUCACAGACGCAAGGUAUAUAUCAGAAACAAUGAAGAUGGGAGCCAGCCUUCCUCCUUAUAGGACCUUUGCUUUGGAUGAACUUAAGGAAGCUACAAAUAAUUUUGAUUCAUCAUGUUUCAUAAGUGAAGGCCAACAUGGUCAGAUUUAUAAAGGGGUUCUCUCUGAUGGGAUGCACAUUUCUAUUAGAGGUUUGAAAAUGAGGAAGAGACAUAGCCCUCAAACUUACAUGCACCAUGUUGAGAUGAUUUCAAAACUAAGGCAUUCACACUUGGUUAGUGCUCUUGGGCAUGCUUUUGAGUGCAACCAGGAUGAUUCAUGUGUGAACAGUGUAUUUCUCAUAUUUGAGUUUGUUCCAAACAGAAGUUUACGAAGCUGCGUUUCUGGAUCUUCUGGGGAAAAGAUUUCUUGGACUCAGAGAAUAGCAGCUACAAUUGGAGUGGUGAAAGGCAUUCAAUUUUUGCACACAGGGAUAGUGCCUGGACUAUAUUCAAAUAAUCUCAAGAUUACAGAUAUUCUUUUGGAUAACAAUCACAAUGUUAAAAUAAGCAGCUACAAUCUGCCACUCUCUUCUGAAAAUAAAAGAAUGAUCAGCAAUGGAACUUCCCCUGGACUCAAAGGAAAUGUCCAAACAAGGAUAAAGGGUGAAGACAAGAAUGAUGUCUAUGAUAUUGGGGUAAUCUUGCUAGAAAUCAUUCUGGGCCGACCAAUAAUAUUCCACAAUGAAGUUGGAACACUAAAAGAUCUGUUACAUGUAAGCAUAAAAACUGAUGACAUAGCUAGAAGAAGUAUUGUUGACCCAGCAGUUCACAAGGAAUGCUCAGAUGAAUCAUUAAUGACAAUGAUGGAGAUAUGUGUAAGGUGUCUCUCUGAUGACCUAACUGAAAGGCCUUCUGUGGAAGAUAUUCUCUGGAACUUGCAGUUUGCAGCACAAGUUCAGAAUUCAUGGAAAAGAGACUCAAGUGAUCACAGUUACUCUCCUACACCAUCCUCCAGGGACACAUAGUUAAUAUCUGUAUGAUAUUUUCAGCUAGCAAGGGUUUGUGUUACCAUGUACAAAAGUUUUAUUUUAUAUCAUGAUUCUCACAAUUUUCAUUAUCAGAAUUCAAUAAUUAUGUGUGCCUAAAUUUUUGCCUUUCAUUGGUUUUUUUUAUCAUUCUAUUCUCUGAAUGCACAAAAUCUUAGAUUUCA